rnacentral:rRNA from 1 species
GACGAGCCACACAAACGUUAUUCGGAAUUACUGGGCUUAAAGGGUGCGUAGGCGGCGCGGAAAGUUGGGUGUGAAAGCCCUCGGCUCAACCGAGGAAUUGCGCCCAAAACUACCGUGCUUGAGGAAGAUAGAGGUGAGCGGAACUCAGGGUGAAGCGGUGAAAUGCGUUGAUAUCCUGAGGAACACCGGUGGCGAAAGCGGCAUCCUGGACCGAUACUGACGCUGAGGAGCGAAAGCCAGGGGAGCAAACGGG